CAUUGUUGCAUGACAAGGAGAGAGAGCACGCUUGUUAACAUUCAUGCAAGGGACAUGACUGUCUACAAGCGUGCUCUCUAUCUUUGUCAUAUAUGCUACAC
rnacentral:pre_miRNA from 1 species